AUACGUAGGGGGCGAGCGUUGUCCGGAAUGAUUGGGCGUAAAGGGCGCGUAGGCGGCCCGGUAAGUCUGGAGUGAAAGUCCUGUUUUUAAGAUGGGAAUUGCUUUGGAUACUGUCGGGCUUGAGUGCAGGAGAGGUAAGUGGAAUUCCCAGUGUAGCGGUGAAAUGCGUAGAGAUUGGGAGGAACACCAGUGGCGAAGGCGACUUACUGGACUGUAACUGACGCUGAGGCGCGAACGUGUGGGGAGCAAACAGGAUUAGAUACCCUGGUAGUCCUCACUGUAAACGAUGAAUGCUAGGUGUAGGGGGUAUCGACCCCUUCUGUGCCGCAGUCAACACAAUAAGCAUUCCGCCUGGGGAGUACGGCCGCAAGGUUGAAACUCAAAGGAAUUGACGGGG
rnacentral:rRNA from 1 species